UGGGGAAUAUUGCACAAUGGGGGAAACCCUGAUGCAGCGACGCCGCGUGAGCGAAGAAGUAUUUCGGUAUGUAAAGCUCUAUCAGCAGGGAAGAAAAUGACGGUACCUGACUAAGAAGCCCCGGCUAACUACGUGCCAGCAGCCGCGGUAAUACGUAGGGGGCAAGCGUUAUCCGGAUUUACUGGGUGUAAAGGGAGCGCAGGCGGUCUUGCAAGUCUGAUGUGAAAGCCCGCGGCUCAACUGCGGGACUGCAUUGGAAACUGUGGGACUUGAGUGUCGGAGGGGCAAGUGGAAUUCCUAGUGUAGCGGUGAAAUGCGUAGAUAUUAGGAGGAACACCAGUGGCGAAGGCGGCUUGCUGGACGACAACUGACGCUGAGGCUCGAAAGCGUGGGGAGCAAACAGGAUUAGAUACC
rnacentral:rRNA from 1 species